GAUGAACGCUGGCGGCGUGCCUAAUACAUGCACGUCGAGCGAAGAGGGGACGGGGGAGUAAAACGUGGAUAACCUCCUAUAAGACUGGGAUAACUUAGGGAACACGGAGCUAAACCGGAUACUUAAAGCUGGAUCCGCGCUGUAUUAGAUAGUUGGUAAGGUAACGGAUGACAAAGGCAACGAUGCAUAGCCGACCUGAGAGGGUGAUCUGCCACACUGGAACUGAGACACGGUCCAGACUCCUACGGGAGGCAGCAGUAGGGAAUCGUCCGCAAUGGGCGAAAGCCUGACGGAGCAACGCCGCGUGAGUGAUGAAGGUCUUCGGAUCGUAAAACUCUGUUAUUAGGGAAGCGGUACCUAAUCAGAAAGCCACGGCUAACUACGUGCCAGCAGCCGCGGUAAUUC
rnacentral:rRNA from 1 species